rnacentral:misc_RNA from 1 species
AAAGAAUCGAAAAAAAAAAAAAAAGAAUUGAACCGUAUCACCCCAAACUUAUUUUACUGUUUUGGUUUGGUUUUGGUUCUUAAUCAAUAACUAAACCAAAACCAUACUGGAUCGAAGAACCUAUUUUAUACAUAUAUUUUUCUAAGAUUUUUUUAGAUAUAUUAUGUUAUUUCAAUAUGAUGGUGGCUUUAGUGUAACACAAAAGUUACUCUCUUUGUGACCUGGAGAUCACAAGUUUGAACCACGUGAAUAGCUUAGAUGCAAAGCAUUGGUAAGGCUGCGUGCAUCGACCCUCUUUAGAGCUCAUAAGCUUGAUAUAUUUCAUGCAUUGGUUCAUCCUUUAUUAUAUUAUUUCAAUAUAAUUAUAUAUAUUUA